UAAGGAAUAUUGGACAAUGGGGGAAAGCCCUGAUCCAGCCAUGCCGCGUGAGUGAUGAAGGCCCUAGGGUUGUAAAGCUCUUUUGUGCGGGAAGAUAAUGACGGUACCGCAAGAAUAAGCCCCGGCUAACUUCGUGCCAGCAGCCGCGAUAAUACGAAGGGGGCUAGCGUUGCUGCGGAAUCACUGGGCGUAAAGGGUGCGUAGGCGGGUCUUUAAGCCAGAGGUGAAAUCCUGGAGCUCAACUCCAGAACUGCCUUUGAU
rnacentral:rRNA from 1 species